rnacentral:rRNA from 1 species
CCUACGGGAGGCAGCAGUGAGGAAUAUUGGACAAUGGGCGCAAGCCUGAUCCAGCCAUGCCGCGUGCAGGAAGACGCAUCUAUGGUGUGUAAACUGCUUUUGUACGGGAAGAAACACUCCCUCGUGAGGGAGCUUGACGGUACCGUAAGAAUAAGGAUCGGCUAACUCCGUGCCAGCAGCCGCGGUAAUACGGAGGAUCCAAGCGUUAUCCGGAAUCAUUGGGUUUAAAGGGUCCGUAGGCGGUUUAAUAAGUCAGUGGUGAAAGCCCAUCGCUCAACGAUGGAACGGCCAUUGAUACUGUUGGACUUGAAUUACUAGGAAGUAACUAGAAUAUGUAGUGUAGCGGUGAAAUGCUUAGAUAUUACAUGGAAUACCAAUUGCGAAGGCAGGUUACUACUAGUGGAUUGACGCUGAUGGACGAAAGCGUGGGGAGCGAACAGGAUUAGAUACCCUGGUAGUCCACGCCGUAAACGAUGGAUACUAGCUGUUGGGCGCAAAGUUCAGUGGCUAAGCGAAAGUGAUAAGUAUCCACCUGGGGAGUACGUUCGCAAGAAUUGAAACUNAAAUUGAAUUGACCGGNNGAGACGNGCGAGAGACGAGAGGAGGAG